ensembl:misc_RNA 7SK 7SK RNA
GGAUGUGAGUUGUCCUCUGACAUAUCUGUCACUCCAUUGAUUGCCAGUACUGAUCUGGCUGGCUAGAUGGUUUGUCCUUUCUAUCUCACCACUCCAUGUGUGAUCCUCCAAAAGUUAUGUGCUCAGUCAAAGAGGAUGACCUUCCCUAAAAGAAGUGGAUCAUUUUCUUGGUCAAGGGUGUAUAAGUAGCUGCAUUCCCCUGCUAGAACCACCAAACAAGCGCAUCUUAGGCUAAUUGUGAUUUUUUAAAGAAAUAAUAUACUCAUUUAAAUUGUUCUUU